CUGCCCCAGACGGCGUCGCCGAUCAGAAGCCCGACGCGAAGGAGGCUCCCAAGGGGUUCACUCCACCAACUCUGAACGCCGACACCCCGGCGCCCAUCUUCGGUGGAAGCACUGGUGGUCUGUUGCGCAAGGCCCAAGUUGAAGAGUUCUACGUCAUUACCUGGGAAUCACCCAAGGAGCAAAUCUUCGAGAUGCCCACCGGUGGCGCAGCCAUCAUGAGGUCGGGACCCAACCUACUGAAGCUGGCCAGGAAGGAGCAGUGUCUCGCACUCGGGGCUAGGCUGCGCACCAAGUUCAAAAUCCAGUACCAAUUCUACCGUGUGUUCCCUAACG
rnacentral:lncRNA from 1 species